GUGCUCACUUUGGCAGCAUAUAUACUAAAAUUGGAAUGAUACAGAGAAGAUUAGCAUGGCCCCUGUGCAAAGAUGACAUGUACAUUUGUGAAGCAUUCCAUAUUAAA
rnacentral:snRNA from 1 species